ACAUGCAAGUCGAACGGACGAUGAAGAGCUUGCUCUUCAGAGUUAGUGGCGGACGGGUGAGUAACGCGUGGGUAACCUGCCUCAUACAGGGGGAUAACCGGGAGAAAUUCCGACUAAUACCGCAUACGUCCUCCGGGGGCAUCCCCGGGGGAUGAAAGAAUUAUCGGUGAAGGAUGGGCAUGCGUGAUAUUAGGUAGUUGGCGGGGCAACGGCCCACCAAGCCCACGAUAUCUAGGGGUUCUGAGAGGAAGGUCCCCACAUUGGUACUGAGACACGGACCAAACUCC
rnacentral:rRNA from 1 species